ACAAUACAAACUAUGUACCUCUCGAGAGGGAGAAGGAGCACCCGUGGGAAUAGGCACGCAGGCCAAUGGGGCGAUCAGAUCCUGAAUUAUAGGAUCGUGCUACGUACAACAAGUGUUACAAUGGAAAUACAAUAUACACACGUCAACAUUUCUGGGUGUUACUGCACAAUUGCUGUUGAGAACUGAAGAUGUGCUUCGCAGCUCUGCAUAAAUAAAUUUCUGACACAACUGAAUCUACAAAAACCAGGUAACAGCAGUGGCAUAUUGUGUCCGAUAAUUGCAUAUUGUCACUAAAAUAACAUCAGUACCAGGUAACUAGGUAAGAUCAUACAGUGAUCUCCAACAGAUACAGGAGUAACAGGACAGCUGCUUUCACUAGUGAGCAUACUGUAGCAAGGGACACUCCCAACAGCCAGAGUAUUCACUAAAGUGAGCUCGUCAGCGAACAUUUAGGCCAAAUAACUGUAACUCGAUGCAUUAUUCGUCGUGGUGGAUAUGUUGGACUGCUAUCAGAAGGGUCGGGGUGGUCAGCCGUGUUAGAGUAGUCGUUAUGGUAUACGAUUUCUAGUCUAAGUCAGUUUUGUAUUCCUAUCCCAAGUCGGUUUGUACCCUCUUAUAUACUCUUAUAUGCCGCACCAAAUCAUCAAUAAGCAACAGUUUUAUUCAGCUUUCAUGGUAUCAGAUACUGGUCCCAGGGUUUAGGGUAUGGCUCCGCCAACGCCACCGCCGCCGCCGCCGCCCGGCUACUUUGAGCGCCGGGCCGCACUCAUCGCCAAGGCUGCCAACGCCGCGGCCGCUUCUCUCUCGGCCCUCACCAUAGCUCCACAAAACUACCCUGCACUCAUCCUCGCCGCACCAAUAUCUCUUGCUGACACAAUCUCCGACGUCAGCCCCUACAUCCCCAUAGUUCUUGAUCUCACCGCCCACAACUACUACCAUUGAAGUCAUCUCUUCGAUCUCCACCUCGGCCGCUGCAACCUGCGCUCGCAUGUCGCUGCCAACUGUCUUCCCCGCCCCGACGAUCCGCAAUGGUUGAAAGACGAUCUCGCGAUCGUCCAGUGGUUCUACACCCGCAUCACCACCGAGAUCUUCAACAUGCUCGAUCACGACGGCGCCACCGCUGCCAACAUCUGGCACUCCCUCCGUCAGCUCUUCCAAAGCAACACCGACGCUCGGAAAAACGCUCUCCACACCGAGCUUCGUAAUAUGGUGCAAGGAGACGCCCCGGUGAACCUGUUCUGCCAGCGCGUUAAGACCAUUGGUGAUGAGCUCCGCGAACUCGGCGAUACAGUUAGCGACUCACAGCUAAUCAAUAUCGUCGUCGUCGGCCUCAGCGAAGACUUUGACAAGCAAGCCUCGUUCAUACCGAUGAUACGGCCCCCUCCUACCUUCGCUGAAGUUCGUUCCUUGCUACAACUCGCGGCGGAAACACAAGCUCGCAAGGACUCUCGCCCCAAGGUCUUUCAUGCUGCGGCUCGUCCUCCUCUGUCGUCUACACCAGCGCCGCCUUCCAGGCCGGCUCCUGCCGCCGGGCCGUCCGCAUCGUCAUCUAUUCAACCGCCCCCAGGCUAGCGUAUUAGUCCGAACUACCGCGGCAAAAACCCUAUCUACAGGCCGUCGUCGACUCGUUCGGUUCCGCCUACGACAUCACCAGCACCAAGUCCUGCACCACCCACCAGUGCUCCAUCUGCGGUUGCAUGGCGGCCUCCUCAUGAUCCUUGGACGGGGAUUGUUCAAGCAUGGCCCAUGCCCUGGUCCGCUCCGUCCACCCUAGGUGCUCCGCCGGCAUACUCAGGUGCCUGGCAACCCGGCCUUCGGCCGCCUACUGGUGCUCCCGGGGUUCUCAACCCCCGACAGCCGGCCAAUGCCUAUCACGCCGCCCCGACGUAUGCUCCUUAUGGUCAUUACACCAGCGACGGCGGCGCCUACUACACACCUCAGCCGGCCCUUCUCCCGACGCCACCCCCACCACAGCCGGCCAAUGCCUACUACACUCCCCAGCCGGCCCUACUGCCUUCACCAUCGUAUCCGCCGGCACUGCUUCCGACACCACCCUCACCUGCGACGCCGAGCUGGGAUCAAGUUGCCUUUCUCCAGGCCAUGAAUAACUUUGCUGCACAAGGAAACUCAGGUACGGAUUGGAUCUUUGAUUCAGGGGCCUCUAGUCAUAUGUCUGCAUCUAGUAAUUGGUUAUCUUCUUGCACUAAAUCUCCUUUCCCUUCCAUUAUCCUUGGAGAUGGAUCAUCUAUUCCUAUAUAUUGUGUUGGUCAGGCUCAACUUCCCUCUUCCACCAAACCUCUUUUACUUCGCGAUGUUCUAAUUGCACCCGCCCUCAUUAAAAAUCUUAUCUCUGUUCGCCAAUUUACUUGCGACAAUCUAGUUUCGGCUGAAUUUGACCCUUUUGGUUUAUCUGUGAAGGAUUACCUGACCAAGGCCGAGAUCGCUCGCUUCAAUAGCUCCGGUGAUCUUUAUUCUCUUAAUGGAGUUCCUGCCGCCACCCCUCCAAUAUCCAUGCUAGCCUCUGUCGAUCUCUGGCAUCGUCGCUUGGGCCAUCCCAACCCCGCCGUCUUAGCUUCUAUGCUUAGUGAAUUUACCAUACCAUGUAAUACGGACUCCAAUAAUUCUGUAUUUUGCGAGUCUUGUCAAUUAGGCAAACAUGUGCGUCUUCCCUUUAGUUCCUCUAGUUCUUGUAGCACUUAUCCCUUUGAAUUAAUACAUUGUGAUUUAUGGACCUCUCCCAUUGCAAGUGUUUCGGGUUUUAAAUACUACCUUGUUAUCCUAGAUGAUUUCACCCACUUUGUCUGGACUUCUCCUCUACGCAACAAAUCCGAGGUCCAUUCUCUUUUCCUUAAUUUUCAACGCUAUGUGUCUGUUCACUUCUUCCUCCCAAUUCGCUUUAUCCAAUGUGACAAAGGUCGCGAGUUUGAUAACAUUAAAAAUCGUACUUUCUUCUUACAACAUGGCAUCCUGCUUAGGUUCUCAUAUCCCUACACAUCCCUCAAAAUGGUAAAGCAGAACGCUCUCUUCGCACCCUCAAUGAUAUAGUUCGCACUCUCCUCAUUCAAUCAUCUAUGCCUCCCAUGUUUUGGGCUGAAGCCCUACACAUGGCCACCUUCCUUCUAAAUAUUCGACCUUCUAAAACUAAACCCAACACUACUCCCUAUUAUUCCCUCUUUCUUUCCCACCCCGACUACUUCGCGGUUCGUGUUUUCGGCUGUCUCUGUUUUCCCAAUGCCUACGCCACUUCUGCAAAUAAAUUGUGACCACGCUCUAUCCCAUGUGCUUUUCUCGGCUUCUCUGACGAGCACAAAGGCUAUCGCUGUCUCGACCUUCACACCGGACACGUUCAUGUCUCUCGUCAUGUCACGUUUGCUGAGCACAUUUUUCCUUUCUCACAACGCACUACUACACCAUCCAACACCCCUAGCUCCGCAAACACCCCCUCUCCUCGUCCUUUCCAACUAUAUACUCCCCUACCUGCCGAACACAACUUAUCACCACCACCAUUAACACCCACCAUAGCCAAUCCCAACCAUACACUCACCCCACCCGAGACGUCCCCAACACCCCCGGCCCCUACUCCCACUCCACCACCCAGCCCUGCUCCCACUCCACCACCCAGCCCUACUCCUUCGUCCGACUCUUCCGCUGCACCGGACUCACCAGUACCCACCUUACCCCCUCGUGCUAUUCCUACAGCAGCCCCGAUUAAUGAUCAUCGCAUGCGUACUAGGGCCAAAUCAGGAUUUCAUCAACCCCAAGACCGCCUAAACCUUCAUACCUCCGUAUCUCUCACUUCUCUUCCAAAGAAUUACAAAACUGCUCUACUUGAUCCCAAUUGGGCCGCUGCCAUGCAAGAAGAAUAUAAUGCUUUACUUCAAAACAACACCUGGCAACUUGUUCCUCGUCCUCCCAAUACAAAUAUUGUUUCUGGCAAAUGGAUUUUUCGCCAAAAGUUCCACUCCGAUGGGAGCCUCUCAUGAUAUAAAGCCAGGUGGGUUUGUCGUGGCUUUUCUCAGCAACAAGGAAUUGAUUACGAAGAAACCUUCUCUCCUGUUGUUAAACCUAGCACCAUUCGCACCGUUCUUAGUGUUGCUGUCUUCAUGGCCCAUUCACCAACUUGAUGUUAAAAAUGCUUUCCUCCAUGGUUCCCUUCAAGAAACUGUCUACUGCCAGCAACCUCUGGGUUUUGAAAAUCCAUCCUUUCCAACUCAUGUAUGUGUUCUUCAGAAAUCUCUCUACGGUCUUAAACAGGCCCCACGAGCUUGGUUUCAACGCUUCUCCUCCUUCAUUCAAACAAUAGGCUUCACUCCAUGUCUCUCCGACACCUCUCUUUUUGUGUAUCAUCAAACUUCUGACACUGCCUAUUUACUUCUUUAUGUAGAUGAUAUCAUUCUUACCGCCUCCUCUCAAAAGUUCUUAGAUCAUAUUGUCUCUCUUCUUAGAUCUGAAUUUUCUAUGACUGACCUAGGACUCCUUCAUCAUUUCUUAGGCAUUGUUGUUGUUCGCGAUUCCUCCAGCCUUUUUCUUUCCCAACGCCAGUAUAUUCUUGAUCUUCUUAAUCGUGCUGGUAUGCUUGACUGUCAAUCAUCUCGCACUCCUGUCGAUACUAGUUUUAAACUUUCGGCUACCGGUGAACCCUUUUCCGAUCCUACUCUUUAUCGUAGCCUAACAGGUGCUCUCCAAUAUCUCACCAUUACUCGUCCUGAAAUCUCUUUUGCUGUUCAACAAGCAUGUCUCUAUAUGCAUGAUCCCCGGGUUCCUCACUAUAAUCAUGUUAAACGCAUUCUUCGGUAUUUAAAAGGAACUCUCAAUCAUGGUCUCCACCUCAAUAAUUCUUCUCCAAACUCGCUUACCGCAUACUCUGAUGCAGACUGGGCUGGUUGUCCUGACACUCGAAGGUCCACUUCCGGUUUUUGUGUUUUUCUUGGUAACAAUUUGAUUUCUUGGUCUUCGAAAAGACAGGUUACAGUCUCACGUUCGUCGGUCGAGGCUGAGUAUCGCGCUGUGGCACAUGCCGUUGCAGAUACAAUCUGGAUUCGGCAGUUACUCUCCGAGCUACACAGGCCUAUUGAGCAGGCCACUAUUGUCUACUGUGACAACAUAUCAGCAGUCUACAUGACCAGCAAUCCAGUUCAACACCGACGCACAAAGCAUAUUGAGAUUGAUAUUCAUUUUGUUCGUGAAAAGGUUGCUCUUGGUCGGGUUCGGGUGAUUCAUGUUCCCUCUACGGCUCAGUUUGCUGACAUUUUCACCAAGGCACUGCCUACUAAGCCAUUUCAAAAUAUCUGUUUCAGUCUCAACGUCGUCGAGCCUGCCGUUGAUACUGUGGGGGGGUGUUAGAGUAGUCAUUAUGGUAUACGACUUCUAGUCCAAGUCAGUUUUGUAUCCCUACCCCAAGUCGGUUUGUACCCUCUUAUAUACUCUUGUAUGCCGCACCAAAUCAUCAAUAAGCAACAGUUUUAUUCAGCUUUCAAGCCGCCUGGACCCGGGGGUCCGAAGAACGGGCCACAGCAAUCUUGGAGCAGGCAGCAACAGCAAAGGAG
rnacentral:lncRNA from 1 species